GUGCUUGCUUCAACAGCACAUAUACUAAAAUUGAAAUGAUACAGAGAAGAUUAGCACGGCCUCUGCACAAGGAUGAUAUGAAAAUUCAUAAAGCACUCCAUAUUUUU
ensembl:snRNA U6 U6 spliceosomal RNA